rnacentral:lncRNA from 1 species
CUGCCUUGGGAGAAGUGGGAGAAAUAACAGUCCCACUUCAGCGAUCUGCAAACUAAGGUCUGGGCUUGAUGUUCACCGAUUUUCCCUCAGCUCCGACUGUGGCUCCUCUCAGCUGACUCUGACCCUGCUCUCAGCCGGGCUGCAUCUGCCCAUCUCAGCACAUCAAUAAACAGCAGAGGGAAACUACCACCUUGGAAGGAGCCAGGCAGUUUCUGCUGGGUAGGCCGCAGCCUGGAACAUGGAAGUAGCUUCUUCCAUCCUACACUGGAAACCACCCAGCAUCCCGGGCCCUCCAGAGAAGAGCCAGACUCCCUUCCCUGGGAAGAGACUAUAGUCCUAUCUAGCUUUUCCUUACUUCAGUAUUGC